rnacentral:rRNA from 1 species
GCAAGUCGUACGAGAACGUACCGGCUUGCCGGGAUUAGUAAAGUGGCGCACGGGUGAGUAACACGUGAGUAAUCUCCCUUCAGGCUUGGGAUAACAUUGCGAAAGCGGUGCUAAUACCAAAUAAGACCACAGUAUCACAGGAUACAGUGGAAAAAGAUGGCCUCUGUAUAUGCUAUCACCUGAAGAUGAGCUCGCGGACCAUUAGCUUGUUGGUAGGGUAAUGGCCUACCAAGGCAAAGAUGGUUAGCUGGUCUGAGAGGAUGAUCAGUCACACUGGAACUGAGACACGGUCCAGACUCCUACGGGAGGCAGCAGUGGGGAAUAUUGCGCAAUGGGGGAAACCCUGACGCAGUGACGCCGCGUGAGUGAUGAAGGUCUUCGGAUCGUAAAGCUCUGUCAGACGGGAAGAAUAAGGGCAGUAAAAAUAUUAUUGUCCGAUGACGGUACCGUCAGAGGAAGCACCGGCUAACUCCGUGCCAGCAGCCGCGGUAAUACGGAGGGUGCUAACGUUGUUCGGAAUUACUGGGCGUAAAGCGCAUGUAGGCGGAUGUGUAGGUCAGAUGUGAAAUCCCUUGGCUCAACCAAGGGGACGUGCAUCUGAAACCACAUGUCUUGAGUACGACAGAGGGAAGUGGAAUUCCCAGUGUAGAGGUGAAAUUCAUAGAUAUUGGGAAGAACACCGGUGGCGAAGGCGGCUUUCUGGGUCGUAACUGACGCUGAGAUGCGAAAGCGUGGGGAGCAAACAGGAUUAGAUACCCUGGUAGUCCACGCCGUAAACGAUGUGCACUAGGUGUUGGGAGUAAUUAAACUCACAGUGCCGAAGCUAACGCAUUAAGUGCACCGCCUGGGGAUUACGGUCGCAAGACUUUAAAACUUCAAAGGAAUUGACGGGGGCCCGCACAAGCGGUGGAGUAUGUGGUUUAAUUCGACGCAACGCGCAAAACCCUACCUGGGCUUGACAUCCCGGUCGUACCUUUUGGAAACAUUUGGAUCAGUUCGGCUGGACCGGUGACAGGUGCUGCAUGGCUGUCGUCAGCUCGUGUCGUGAGAUGUUGGGUUAAGUCCCGCAACGAGCGCAACCCCUACUGUUAGUUGCCAUCAUUUAGUUGGGCACUCUAACGGAACUGUCGGUGUCAAACCGGAGGAAGGUGGGGAUGACGUCAAGUCCUCAUGGCCCUUAUGCCCAGGGCUACACACGUACUACAAUGGCCAGUACAAAGGGCAGCGAACUCGCAAGGGUAAGCGAAUCCCAAAAAGCUGGUCCCAGUUCGGAUUGGAGUCUGCAACUCGACUCCAUGAAGUUGGAAUCGCUAGUAAUCGCGAAUCAGCAUGUCGCGGUGAAUACGUUCUCGGGCCUUGUACACACCGCCCGUCACACCACGAAAGUCAGCUAUACUAGAUGUCGUUGAGCUAAUUCAUUUCGAUGAAAGGCAGACGCCGACGGUAU